GAUGAACGCUGGCGGCGUGCCUAAUACAUGCAAGUCGAGCGAACAGAUAAGGAGCUUGCUCCUUUGACGUUAGCGGCGGACGGGUGAGUAACACGUGGGUAACCUACCUAUAAGACUGGGAUAACUUCGGGAAACCGGAGCUAAUACCGGAUAAUAUUUCGAACCGCAUGGUUCGAUAGUGAAAGAUGGUUUUGCUAUCACUUAUAGAUGGACCCGCGCCGUAUUAGCUAGUUGGUAAGGUAACGGCUUACCAAGGCGACGAUACGUAGCCGACCUGAGAGGGUGAUCGGCCACACUGGAACUGAGACACGGUCCAGACUCCUACGGGAGGCAGCAGUAGGGAAUCUUCCGCAAUGGGCGAAAGCCCGACGGAGCAACGCCGCGUGAGUGAUGAAGGUCUUCGGAUCGUAAAACUCUGUUAUUAGGGAAGAACAUACGUGUAAGUAACUGUGCACGUCUUGACGGUACCUAAUCAGAAAGCCACGGCUAACUACGU
rnacentral:rRNA from 1 species